GACGAACGCUGGCGGCGUGCUUAACACAUGCAAGUCGAACGAUGAAGCCUUUCGGGGUGGAUUAGUGGCGAACGGGUGAGUAACACGUGGGUAAUCUGCCUUGCACUCUGGGAUAAGCCUGGGAAACUGGGUCUAAUACCGGAUAUGACUACUUCACGCAUGUGGGGUGGUGGAAAGUUCUGGCGGUGUGAGAUGAACCCGCGGCCUAUCAGCUUGUUGGUGGGGUGAUGGCCUACCAAGGCGACGACGGGUAGCCGGCCUGAGAGGGCGACCGGUCACACUGGGACUGAGACACGGCCCAGACUCCUACGGGAGGCAGCAGUGGGGAAUAUUGCACAAUGGGCGAAAGCCUGAUGCAGCGACGCCGCGUGAGGGAUGACGGCCU
rnacentral:rRNA from 1 species